rnacentral:lncRNA from 1 species
GUAAAUUUGUUAUUCCUGUAUGAUUGGAGACACGUCCUCGGCGAACACUCCACAGAGAUACGCGAGUGGAGGACUACACCCGUAACCAGAAUCUCUGGGAUUUAGAGAGCGUGACUUGAGUGUAUAGAUCUAUACGGGGCUGACUACCCCACACCUGGCUGCUAGCUACAGCCGAACCGAAAUGGUUCAAGGGUGACGAAAGUCAUAAGGAUGUGGACUACUUAUUGCCACAGGUUCAGUCUAUCGUAUGGUUAUGGAACUCGCAAUUAGGAUAACAGAGAUUUACUUAUAGUAAUAAUGAAUAACUUUAUACACUUCACAAGAUAUCCAGGUUUUUGGUAUACAUCUUUUACAUUGAUAACUCACAUUCAGGAAAGUAUGGGACUUUCCUGGGAAACCUUGUACAUAACCAGGUCUAACCAGAAUACAUCUUUUACAUCUUUUACAAAUGGUAACCAACAUUCAGGAAAGCAUGGGGCUUUCCUGGGGAAAACAUUUACAUAACUAGAAAAGUGUAACAAACUGGAUAACCUUACAUCUUUUACAAUUGGUAAUAUACAAUCAGGAAAGUAUGGGACUUUCCUGGGGAUCCAUUGGUACAUAACCAGAACAGAAUAACAAAACAGAUAACCUAAAUGUACAUUUUCACAAGGGUAAACAUGUUUUCAGUGUACAACUUUACUUUACAUAAUGUGAAACAACCAACCAACCUUUUUAAGAAAAUGUGGGAUUUUCUUGGCGUGUGUUACAUUUUCAGAAACAGAAAGGAAACAUGAACAUUUUCACAAAACAAAAACCACUUAUGAACUCACCAGCGUUAUGCUGAUUUUCAAACCGCUUGUGUUCUCAGGUCAACGUUAGAACAGGUACUGAAGAUCCUUUUACCCGAAGUCGGAGUGCUCAGAAGACCCGUUUCAUUUUGUUUCUAUAUAUAUACUAUGUAUCACAACUGUACAACUUUAAUUUUUGAAACAAUUGUAAAACUUUUUAUAUGUAAUGUAAUGGUUGUUCUACUUUACUUACUAUGUACAUUGGAUUUGAUACUCAACGUGGAGUCAACCCCGGAAAUGUUUCCGCCUUCGGUUUUCGGGGUGUGACAGAUUGGUAUCAGAGCCCUUGUUUAUAGUGAAUAAAGUAUACCAAACCUUACAUGGUAUAAAACUAUAAACACUAAAGGGCCUAAGUGCUCUGAAAUAAAAGUAUCUUCAAACUAUAAGUAUUUUCAAAAAGUAUAUAAGUAUACCGAGCCGUCGAGAUCCGUAACUACAAGUAAAACAAAACAUAAGUAAAUGGAUGUUGUGUACUGCGGUUAAACCUGGGCAGUUAUGUAGUCGUGUCUAGGAUCAAUAUAGCCUGGCCAACUAUAUUCAUUCGAGACACGGCCAACAUGUGCUUGGGAGUGACUGUGGUAUGCGACGUGCCUAAAACUUACAAUAAUACCACAAACAUCGCGCCAGUGUAGUAACAAAUCAUGAAAUACUAUGGGAGUAUUUCUCGAGCCAAUCUUUUGUAAGAAUCCUCGUUCACGUAUAGAUCCUUGAUCAUUCCAUUAGCGAUAGUUUACCUGCUUUGAUAACUCUUUCCUGCUUUAUCGCUUAUUUGGAAUAAAUAUCUGUCAUAUCUCUCGAUUCAAUUCAGAGGACUUAUCAUCCUCUCUUUCUUGAUCUUAUUAGAUCAAGAUGCCUCCCAGAAAGAGACCCAGCUCAAAGACCAACAACCCUCUGCCACCACCUCCUCCUGAAAUUGAUCUCGUGUUAUUCCAAACAGCUGUUACCGCCACGGUGGCAGCUGUCAUGUCCCAAUUGAACACCGGUGGUUCCAGUGGUUCGGGAAGUGGUACUCAAGACCAAGAAAGUAACCAGGAACGCCGAAAGGAGGGUUCAUACAAGGACUUCAUGAAUGCGAAGCCUUCAUCCUUCGAUGGCACUGGAGGUGUCAUUUCCUUAUCCCGAUGGUUCGAGAAAAUCGAAUCCAUUUUCGAAAUCUUUGCCUGUGCUGAGUCCGAAAAGGUUAAAUUUGCAUCAUGUACCUUCCUCGAUAAAGCUUUGACUUGGUGGAACGGUCGAGUGAAAUCCUUGACCCUACCCGUAGCUAAUGCCAUGGGCUGGGAUGCCAUGAAAGAACUCCUCCUUGCCGAAUAUUGUCCCCGUGGUGAAAUGCAGAAGCUAGAGCACGAGCUCUGGAACCUGAAGAUGAAAGGUUCCGACAUUGCUGCAUACAUUUCCCGAUUCGAUGAUCUUGCCCUUCUCUGUCCUGGUCUGGUCACUCCUGAAAGCAAAAAGAUUGAGAGGUUUAUUUGGGGGUUAACCAAUCCAACAAAGGGUCAUGUCUUAGCUGCUCGCCCGGAUACAUAUGAUAGUGCUAAGACUUUAGCCCAAGCUAUAAUUAACCACAGUAAUGAUGUCGAGGAAACCACUACCUCUCCUGAAUCGACUAAAAGCAGUGGUGAGAAGAGAAAGUUCUGGAAGAAGAAGAAGGGUCAAUCUUCCCAAGGAUCCUCCAAAAGACAGCAAACAGUAGCAGUCCAUGCUGCUACUACCCCUGUUGCUGCUGCUUCUAUUGUGGGAUCCACAGCUCCAACUCCUACCAUCCGGUAUGCUGGUAAUCUUCCUCUCUGUGACAAGUGAAAGUAUCACCACAACCCUGGCCCCUGUCGAGAACUUUCCUGUACCAAUUGUGGUAAGAAGGCGCACACAGUUCGAUUCUGCAAAGCACCGACCCAAUCGGUCAAUCAAUCUUCUGGAGCAGGCGUUGGUCAAGCCUGUUACAACUGUGGUGAAGCUGGGCACUUUAAAAGGAACUUCCCCAAAAAGUCUACUGCUGAUAACACCGGAAGGGUCCUCGCCAUGGGACGGGAGGAAGCGGUUGCCGAUCCCACUGUCGUCUCGGGUACGUUCCUUCUCGACAACUCAUAUGCUAAUAUUCUUUUUGACUCGGGUGCUGAGAGGAGCUUUAUUAGUCAUGCAUUCAAACAUAACCUAAAACAUAAUUCCCGACCUUUAACCGAAACGUUUACCGUCGAGAUGGCGAACGGUGAGAAAGAAAGCGCGAGCGAAGUGUUCGUAGGUUGUACCCUUACCCUGAACGACCAUUCGUUUCCUAUCGAUCUCAUGCCAGUAUCCAUAAAGAGCUUUGAUGUCAUCAUUGGCAUGGAUUGGUUGAGUCCCAAUCAUGCAGACAUCCUUUGUUUCGAAAAAGCAAUCCGUCUCAACCUUCCUUCGGGUCAAACUCUAGUAAUCUAUGGCGAUAAACUCAGUUCCAACCUUCGUAUCAUUUCCUGCAUCAAAGCUCAGAAGCUCCUGCGAAAGGAGUGUAUUGCAUUCUUGGCCCAUGUAAUCAACGAGAAGCAGGAAGUUAAAGACCUCGCGAGCAUCCCCGAAGUCUGUAACUUUCCUGAUGUAUUUCCCGAAGAGCUUCCAGGAAGUCCUCCCGAGCGUCAGGUCGAGUUCCGUAUUGACCUAAUUCCUGGAGCUACUCCUGUAGCGAAGUCUCCGUAUCGCUUAGCUACAGCAGAAAUGCAGGAGUUAUCCAGUCAACUCAACGAGUUGCUCAGUAAAGGAUUCAUUAGAUCAACUUCCUCACCCUGGGGAGCUCCGGUAUUGUUUGUCAAGAAGAAAGAUGGAUCCUUUCGGAUGUGUAUCGAUUAUCGCGAACUGAACAAGUUGACUGUCAAAAACCGAUAUCCUCUUCCGCGAAUAGAUGACCUCUUCGAUCAACUCCACGGAGCCAGUUACUUCUCCAAGAUAGAACUUCGAUCAGGGUACCAAUAGCUACGAGUUCAUGAGAGUGAUGUUUACAAAAUAGCUUUCAGGACUCGAUAUGGACACUACGAGUUCGUAGUGAUGCCCUUUGGUCUAACCAACGCACCGGCGGUGUUCAUGGACCUGAUGAACCGGGUGUGUCGUCCUUAUCUGGACAAGUUUGUCAUUGUGUUCAUUGAUGACAUACUCGUCUAUUCCCGAAGCGAAGAAGACCACAAACAACACUUGAGGCUAGUGUUGGAAACCCUGCGAUCCAAAAAGUUGUACGCGAAAUUUUCGAAAUGCGAGUUCUGGAUUCGGAAGGUAACUUUCCUUGGUCAUGUACUAAGCGAGGAGGGUAUUCAUGUAGAUCCUUACAAGAUAAAGGCUAUAGAGAAUUGGUCAACACCGAAGACACCCACAGAAAUCCGGCAAUUCUUGGGUCUCGCUGGCUAUUAUUGGAGAUUCAUUCAGAACUUUUCUAGAAUCGCCAAACCCUUAACCACUCUAACACAGAAAGGUGUACCCAUUUGUUGGAAUGAUAAGCAAGAAACCGCAUUCUAGACGCUAAAGAAAGCCUUGUGCAGCGCGCCUGUUCUGUCCCUACCCGAAGGGACGGAGGACUUCGUUGUCUACUGCGAUGCGUCUAAUCAAGGCUUAGGUUUUGUGCUUAUGCAAAGGGGAAAAGUAAUUGCCUAUGCCUCUAGACAGCUGAAAGCACACGAGGUUAACUAUACCACACACAACUUGGAGCUAGGAGCCAUAGUCUUUGCAUUGAAGAUUUGGAGACAUUACCUCUACGGAACCAAGUGCACGAUCUUCACCGAUCACAAGAGCCUGCAACACAUCUUUGACCAGAAAGACUUAAACAUGAGACAAAGGCGAUGGGUAGAACUACUCAGUGAUUAUGAGUGUGAAAUCCGUUACCAUCCCGGCAAGGCCAAUGUGGUAGCAGAUGCCCUUAGCCGAAAGGAGAGGGCAGGCCAUAAAGUGAAGAACCAUACGAUGACCAUCCAUUCCAACCUACCCAUGCAAAUCCGAGAAGCCCAGUUAGAAGCCCUCAAACCCGAGAAUAUGUCGACCGAAGCCUUGAGAGGAAUGGAAAAGAAACUUGAUAUCAGAGGUGACGGAGUCCAUUGUUUCAUGGAUCAGAUCUGGAUUCCCAAGUUCAGAGGAUUUAGAGAGAUAGUUAUGGAGGAAGCGCAUAGAACCAGAUACUUUGUUCACCCGUGCUCGACAAGAUGUACUUUGAUCUCAAGAAACAAUACUGGUGGCCAAACAUGAAGGCUGAGAUAGCUACGAUCGUGGGCAAGCGUCUGACUUGCGCCAAAGUAAAAGUUAUGCACCAGAAACCCUCGGGUCUGCUCCAGCAACCUGAGAUACCCGAAUGGAAAUGGGAGAUGAUCACCAUGGAUUUCAUCACCAAACUACCCAAGUGUCCGAGUGGGUAUGAUACCAUUUGGGUGAUUGUUGAUCAUUUGACAAAGUUCGCUCACUUCGUUCCGAUCAAAGAAUCAUACAAGAUGGAAAGACUCGCGCGGAUUUACAUCGAAGAGGUAGUCCGACUGCACGGUGUACCUGCGUCAUUUAUCUCUGAUCGAGAUAGCAGGUUUACCUCCCGAUUUUGGCAGUCUCUUCAAAAAGCUCUUGCAACCAAACUAGAUAUGAGCACAGCGUAUCAUCCUCAGACCAAUGGACAAAGUGAGAGAACAAUCCAAACCCUGGAGGACAUGCUUAGGGCAUGUGUCAUUGACUUUGGAAAGUCGUGGGACACACAUCUACCUUUAAUCAAAUUCUCGUACAACAACAGUUACCACACCAGCAUUAGGGCUGCCCCGUUUGAAGCCCUAUACGGUCGCAAGUGCAGAUCCCCUCUAUGCUGGGCUGAGGUGGGGGAUACACAGUUAGCCAAGAGUCGAGUCCCGGACAGUGCUCUCACUGGUCCUGAAAUCAUCCGUCAAACCACUGAGAAGAUCAUCCAAAUCCGAGAACGACUGAAAGCUUCACGUGAUCGCCAGAAGAGUGACGCUGAUAACCGUCGGAAACCACUGGAAUUCCAGGUUGGAGACCAUGUCCUGUUGAAGGUCUCGCCCUAGAAAGGCACUGUACGCUUUGGUAAGCAUGGGAAAUUUAAUCCGAGGUACAUUGGACCUUUCAAGAUCCUCGCUAGGAUUGGUCUGGUAGCCUAUAAACUUCGUUUACCUCACGAGCUCAGUAACAUCCAUCCCGUCUUCCAUGUUUCAAAUCUCAAGAAAUGCCUCUCCAAUGAAACCCUAGUGAUUCCUUUAGACGAGAUCGAGAUCGAUGAAAACCUCAACUUCGUGGAGGAACCGAUCGAAAUCAUGGAUCGAGAAGUCAAACGUAUGAAACAAAGUCGCAUCCCGUUAGUGAAGGUUCGCUGGAAUGCCAAGCGAGGACCGGAGUUCACUUGGGAGUGGGAAGACUCGAUGAAACAGAAGUAUCCGCAACUCUUUCCAGAUCCAUGAUUUGUGUUUUGUCUUAUAUCUUGUCUUGAAUUUCGGGACGAAAUUCCCUCUAACGGGGGGAUAAUGUAACAACCCGAAAUUCCAUAUCACUUCUUGUAACUCAAAUUGUAAUCCAAUUCGAUCAACCAAACGUCAUUUCCAAAUCUGUUUCCGAUUUUGCCAUUUAAUUAAGUCAUUAACUUGUAUUAAUCUAAAAUGACUUAAUGGGUGUCUUAAUGCCAUUUGAAAUCAUUCUAACACCCCAUAAAUGUCAUCGGAAUAAUUCUAGAAUCGACCAUAUCGGGUUACGGCAACUUGGUCGGGUGCGACCAAAAGCCCCGCCUAACGCCGGUAUCGGGUAGAUUUCCAUCGUGUCUAAUUCCCGAGCACUAUAUAAAGGACUCAAAUCUUUCAUUUGAAGCUUUUGGCCAUCUUUCCUUAAUCACUCUCCAACCUCUCUCCUCAUCCAUAAUCAAAGGUCCAAAAACAAAGAUUUAAGGCUCCAAAUCAAAGAGGCAACAUCCCUAACUUGUUAUCUAACCUCUUUAGCCUUCAAAUUGAUGUUUAAUUUGAGUUUUAGGACCUGGAACAUGUGUUUACGGCCAAGGAUCAAGCUUGGGCCGUAAACACUUAAAAAUGGGGUUUUUAAGCCAAUUAACCCUUCCAAAUCAUUGUUGGGAAUUAGAUACGACUUUGAGACUUUCAAUAUUGGACUUGAAACACUUAAAACAUAAAUUUUAUGGGACAAAAGAGAGUUUAUGUCCAAGGAAUGUGCUUGGGCCAUAAAAUCCUCAAACAUGGGGAGUAAACACAUUUUUACAUGUUAGUUUGCAUUGAAACUCAACCAAUAGCCUUGGAAUAAAUCAUAGAACCAUCUAAAAUUAGUUUGGGGGCCUUAAACAUAACAAAACACUACAUUUAGGAGUUUACACCCAUAGGACAUACUCUUAGGCCGUAAACUCAUAAAAGUGUGUCAAAUGAUGCCCUUAAACCAUCCCAAGGCUUGGAAAAAUUACUAGAAUCACAUGUGAUUGUCCUAAGCACCUCAAAUGAAUUUUUGUUUAAGCUUGGGGGAGUUUACGGCCGUAAAAUCCAUGUUUACAGCCGUAAAGUCCCAUAAAUGGUGUAUAAAUCCAAAAAAAUUAAUCCAAGGCAUUUUAGAAAUUCAUUCCAACAACCCCCAUGUCCAUUCAAGCCAUUAAACCCUCAAAAUCACACCCACAUGAGUUCACGGCCGUGAACUCAUGUAUGUGUGCGUUAUAUGGCCAUAAACUCUAUAAAGUGUUUACUCUUGGGGAGUAAACUCAAAUCCUAAGUCCCUAGUGCCAUUAUACGUCCAAAGAUGUCACCCGGGUCACUCCAAAAGCUCGUUUUGACACAUUUAAUCUCGUUGGAGUGUAAUGUUCCAUAUAAUAAGUGAUUGUAAAUCUAAUUAGAUAUAUAUGGGCAUUAUUUCAUUUUACAUAGGGACAUCGUGAAUAAUCAAGCCCCGAACCAAUGUCUAGUGUCCGAAACCGUCGCAUUUCCGAGUCUGGUGAGUUCAUACCCCUACCCUUUUUCACUAUUUUUCACUAUUUCCAGGGGGAAAACAAGCAAAGUACAAGGGUUUCUUGUACUCAAAAACUUGUUUUCGUGUGUGUGUUUCACAUUUUAUAUGCUUUUAAUACUGAUUGAUACAACUAGAAACCAUUCGAGCAUGCAGAUCACGUAAACAUUUAUUUGUGAAAUGAGUUUUAUAAACUGUUAUGUUUUAUAUAUUUCACAAAUGUUUUCCACAUUUUAUCAAUUAAAAGCGUGACAUUAGAACAUAUGAACAUGAAACUUGUACACUGUUUGUCCUCGGUAACACUCCACAGAGAUACGCGAGUGGAGGACUAUCAUAUUAUUACUAGUCAAUUUUUUAUUCCUGUAUGAUUGGAGACACGUCCUCGGUGAACACUCCACAAAGAUACGCUAGUGGAGGACUACACCCGUAACCAGAAUCUCUGGGAUUUAGAGAGCGUGACUUGAGUGUAUAGAUCUAUACGGGGCUGACUAUCCCACACCUGGCUGCUCGCUACAGCCGAACCGAAAUGGUUCAAGGGUGACGAAAGUCAUAAGGUUGUGGACUACUUAUUGCCACAGGUUCAGUCUAUAGUAUGGUUAUGGAACAUGCAUUUAGGAUAACAGAGAUUUACUUAUAGUAAUAAUGAAUAACUUUAUACACUUCACAAGAUAUCUAGGUUUUUGGUAUACAUCUUUUACAUUGAUAACUCACUUUCAGGAAAGUAUGGGACUUUCCUGGGAAACCUUGUACAUAACUAGGACCAACUAGAAUACAUCUUUUACAUCUUUUACAAAUGGUAACCAACAUUCAGGAAAGCAUGGGGCUUUCCUGGGGAAAGCAUUUACAUAACUAGAAAAGUGUAACAAACUGGAUAACCUUACAUCUUUUACAAUUGGUAAUAUACAAUCAGGAAAGUAUGAGACAUUCCUGGGGAUCCAUUGGUGCGUAAUCGGAACAGAAUAACAAAACAGAUAACCUAAAUGUACAUUUUCACAAGGGUAAACAUGAUUUCAGUGUACAACUUUACUUUACAUAAUGUGAAACAACCAACCAACCUUUUUAAGAAAAUGUGGGAUUUUCUUGGCGUGUGUUACAUUUUCAGAAACAGAAAGGAAACAUGAACAUUUUCCCAAAACAAAAACCACUUAUGAACUCACUAGCUUUAUGCUGAUUUUCAAACCGCUUGUGUUCUCAGGUCAUUGAUAGAUCAGGUACCGAAGAUCCACUUGAUCCAGGAUGGAGUGCGUACACGAUCCGUUCG